UACGGAGGGUGCAAACGUUGCUCGGAAUCAUUGGGCGUAAAGCGCACGUAGGCGGCUAGAUAAGUCGGGUGUGAAAGCCCUGGGCUCAACCCAGGAAGUGCAUUCGAAACUGUCUAGCUUGAAUCUCGGAGGGGGUCAGAGAAUUCCCGGUGUAGAGGUGAAAUUCGUAGAUAUCGGGAGGAAUACCAGUGGCGAAGGCGCUGACCUGGACGAAGAUUGACGCUGAGGUGCGAAAGCG
rnacentral:rRNA from 1 species